CUUGUCUUUCCUUCCACCUUCCACAUCCAGCGUGAAUUGCCACAUUCCUUGACUAUUUCAAGAACCCAUUGACUGGUAUGUCUUCUGUCUUGCCUCACUCAUAUUCAUCCCACAUGUGCAUUCCAGAGUGCUCUUAUGAAUGAAUCAAUCUCCUAUCUUCCGCAUUAAAAACCUUCCAUGGCUCUCCACUGCUUACCAAAUAAAGCCCCACCCUUGGCUUUCAUAACUCUCCAUCCGGAUUCAACUUCUAUUUUCCUUCUGUCUCAUGCCAACCCCAAACCACAAUUAAACCAAAGUGUAAACAGCUUUUACAUAAAUCCUGUACUUUUCCUGCUCCUGGUUCCUUCCUGUCUGAAAUUGACUUUCUUGAUUCUAAUUAGACGUUUUCAUAAAAUCUUUUCUUCUUUUCUUCAGAGACAAGGGUCUCACUCUGUCACCAAGGCUGGAGUGCAGCGGUAUGACUGUAGCUCACUGCAGCCUCAAAUUCCUGGGCUCACGCAAUCCUCCCACCUUAGACUCCCAAGUAGUUAGGACUUCUGGUGUGAGCCACCAUGCCUGACCACAUUCUCAUAAAAGCUUAACAUAUUCUCUUCUCUCUAAACAUUGGCUUGUAGUUAAUGUCUUGCGUAUUCUUUUCAAUAGGGAUGAGGGGAUGGAGUAACAUAGUAAGUUAUAACAGAGCUCCCCUGGCUGGGCACAGUGGCUCACACUUGUAAUCCCAGCACUUUGGGAGGCCGAGGUGGGCAGAUCACUUGAGGCUAGGAGUUUGAG
rnacentral:lncRNA from 10 species